rnacentral:piRNA from 1 species
UGNGAAUUCAGUGCUCACUACUGUCUGGG